rnacentral:rRNA from 1 species
UACGUAGGGUGCAAGCGUUGUCCGGAAUUAUUGGGCGUAAAGAGCUCGUAGGCGGUUUGUCGCGUCUGCUGUGAAAACCUAAGGCUCAACCUUGGGCUUGCAGUGGGUACGGGCAGACUAGAGUGCGGUAGGGGUGACUGGAAUUCCUGGUGUAGCGGUGGAAUGCGCAGAUAUCAGGAGGAACACCGAUGGCGGAAGGGCAGGUCACUGG